GUGACCUUGGGCAAUCCGCCCAUGUAUGAGAAAAUGGGAAAUGAAAGCCAUUUCAAGGCUUUUGCCUCGAGAGAUCCACCCAUAACAAGAGAAAAUGGGGAUGGAAGCUUAUUUUCCCUUUGUCUUGUCCACCAUCCAUGAGAGAAAAGUGCUUGGCUAAUCCAUUUCUUUUAGUACCUGUGAGCUUAUUUCUUCACAUUUUCCUGUUAUCAAGCUUCAUUGUUCCUAGAAAUCCAUCUUGUUUGAAGAGAUAUGAGUUAGUUCUUAUAUUGAUCAAGAAGUACGAAAGAAAAAGUUUUGGAUUAAGAGGAAAAGAAUAUAGAUGAUCCACAUGUUCAACCAAGUUAUGAUCUGCAAGGUUUGAAGGAGAAUAGUUGCAUGCAUGUCACCCAACCAUUGUUAAAUGGUGAAAAUUAAGGAAAUUGACAAGCAAAGGAUAGUUGCCAUGCGUGUAAAUCAAGAAAGAUAGUGAUUAAACGGCAAGUGAUAUUGAUUGAUUAAGAACGCAAAGAGUUUAAAUUGGCAAAGUAAUAUCCCGCCAAGAAAGGAGCUUUGAUGUCCGUAGAUAAUAAAGGGAACUUCUCUAAGAAACUUAAAUUCUACAUAGUUGUAGUGGCAAUUGACAUUGGUAUGACAAGAGUUGGAUUGGGAUGCAUGUUAAUGCGAAAUGGUAGAGUUAUCAUGUAUGCUUCAAGACAACUUAAGAGGAACGAGCAAAACUACCUUACCUAUGACUUGGAAAUGGCAACAUAGUAUUUGCAUUAAAGAUUUGGCAUCAUUACCUAUAUGGGGAAAGCUUUGAAAUAUAUACUGAUCACAAAAGUUUAAAUUAUAUAUUUCAACAAUGUGAUCUUAAUUUAAGGCAAUGCUUAUGGAUGAAUUGCUCAAAGAUUACGAUUGUACCAUUCAAUAUCACCCUGGUAAGGCGAACGUGGUGGUCGACAUUUUGAGUAAAAAAUCUAUAGGGAG